rnacentral:rRNA from 1 species
GACGAACGCUGGCGGCGUGCUUAACACAUGCAAGUCGAACGGAGCCUAUCGAAUGAAGUUUUCGGAUGGAAUUUGAGAAAGCUUAGUGGCGGACGGGUGAGUAACGCGUGAGCAACCUGCCCUUCGAGAGGGGGGAUAACACCGGGGAAACUGGUGCUAAUACCGCAUAACGUAACGGAGCCGCAUGACUCUGUUACCAAAGGAGCAAUCCGCUCGAAGAUGGGCUCGCGUCUGAUUAGCUAGUUGGUGAGGUAACGGCCCACCAAGGCGACGAUCAGUAGCCGGACUGAGAGGUUGAACGGCCACAUUGGGACUGAGACACGGCCCAAACUCCUACGGGAGGCAGCAGUGGGGAAUAUUGGGCAAUGGGGGAAACCCUGACCCAGCAACGCCGCGUGGAGGAAGAAGGUUUUCGGAUCGUAAACUCCUGUCCUCAGGGAAGAGCAGAAGACGGUACCUGAGGAGGAAGCCCCGGCUAACUACGUG